AGCGCGGACGGUUGAUUAAGUCUGAUGUGAAAGCCCGGAGCUCAACUCCGGAAUGGCAUUGGAAACUGGUUAACUUGAGUGCAGUAGAGGUAAGUGGAACUCCAUGUGUAGCGGUGGAAUGCGUAGAUAUAUGGAAGAACACCAGUGGCGAAGGCGGCUUACUGGACUGUAACUGACGUUGAGGCUCGAAAGUGUGGUAGCAAACA
rnacentral:rRNA from 1 species